CCUACGGGAUGCAGCAGUGGGGAAUAUUGGGCAAUGGGCGCAAGCCUGACCCAGCAACGCCGCGUGAAGGAAGAAGGCUUUCGGGUUGUAAACUUCUUUUAUCAGGGACGAAGCCCGUGACGGUCCCUGAUGACUAAGCCACGGCUAACUACGUGCCAGCAGCCGCGGUAAUACGUAGGUGGCAAGCGUUAUCCGGAUUUACUGGGUGUAAAGGUCGUGUAGGCGGGAGUGCAAGUCCGAUGUGAAAACUAUGGGCUCAACCCAGAGCCUGCAUUUGAAAAUGUACUUCUUGAGUGCUGGGGAGGCAAUCGGAAUGCCGUGUGUAGCGGUGAAAUGCGUAGAUAUACGGAGGAACACCAGUGGCGAAGGCGGAUUGCUGGACAGUAACUGACGCUGAGGCGCGAAAGCGUGGGGAGCAAACAGGAUUAGAUACCCUUGUAGUC
rnacentral:rRNA from 1 species